rnacentral:RNase_MRP_RNA from 14 species
GCCUGGGGAAAGUCCACGGACUGCACGCGCGGAGCGCGCCUCUUCUUCUUCUCCUCAGGCGUGCUCGCUGAGAC